GCGUGCUCUGGAUGCCUCGGGUGGCAGACUUUUAUACCAUCCAGCAAAAGUGUGCAAGAUUGUCAGGGCGUGUGGUGUUUUGCACAAUAUAGCACUGAGAAACGGUAUUCCUCUCCCUCCUGAUCUCCCUCUCCCCCAGCAUUACGCCCCCGAGCCACAGCCCCCUGGCCGACAAGAGGGAUAUCAACGAGGUGCAAGAAUCCGUGAGGAUGUCAUGCGGCGUUUGUAAAGAAAGACAAAACUCAAGGACUGCGUCAGUGAGUACCCGACCACUUUUGGACGUGCCAGACGCAGAAGGGGCACUGCUUUGAGCCGGACGCUGUGCAUCUGCAUCUGAGAACCCCUCACCCUGAACCUCCUGUUCAUUUACAGCUUCAGACUCCGGAAGGACUGGAGGACAAACAAUUGGCAACAUUUAUCCAUUUAUCACCCCACACACUCAAAUGUACAGCGUUAAUGAUUAAAAAUCGGUUUAACCUUG